rnacentral:rRNA from 1 species
UACGUAGGGGGCUAGCGUUGUCCGGAAUCAUUGGGCGUAAAGCGCGUGUAGGUGGCGGCCUAAGUACCUUGUGAAAUCCUGCGGCUCAACCGCAGAACUGCUUGGUAUACUGGGUCGCUUGAGCCAUCCAGGGGCAACUGGAACAAGCGGUGGAGCGGUGAAAUGCGUAGAUAUCGCUUGGAACGCCAAAGGUGAAAACAGGUUGCUGGGGAUGCGCUGACACCGAGACGCGAAAGCCAGGGGAGCGAACGGG